rnacentral:lncRNA from 1 species
GAACAACUCAACCAGACCCUGUCUCAAAAUAAAAUUUUAAAAAGAAAAAUAAGACAUCCUAGCCUAAGGCACAGAAACCAGAGAAAGAACCAUCUAAGAAAAAAAAUGAAAACACCGGAAGAAAAGCUGGACAAGGUGGGUCAGGAAACAUUUUAGUUUUCUUACAGUAUUUAAAGGCCCUGUGUGUAUCCAGAGUGUAGCAGCAUGUGUAUGCAAUGUGCUGUCCAUUUUGGAUAGUGGGAUGGUCCUAAUGUCAUAUGGGGCAGACCACUUGUCCUUUAGUAUGUCCAAGUAGAUGCUACCAGUGGACAUAUUGGGAUGGUAGCAGGGUAUGAAGAAUUUGGCAGUGGGUGUGUUUGUAGUUGUAGUCACUAGGGCACUGCAGGGAGAACUUUGACCUCAAGUCUUCGUGUACUCUCGCCAUUGUUUCACAGAUGGUCCCUACCCGUUUGAACUGUUUGACACAGGGAAGGCAGAAGUUCCUUUGUCACCAGACAUCUAAGCAUCAUCAGCUCCAUUUGUCACCUCUUGUGCCCAGAGUCCUGGGUAGCAUUCCACAGGGCCAGUUCCCGAAUGGCAGCAGUGAAGAUGUUGGGUGGAGGCCUCUGGAAGCCAUCCUUACCUUGCUUCUUCAACAAAAGUGAUACCAGUUAAGUAUUAAUUCAACCAGGAACCCUGAAUAUCUGCACUGUGCCACAGGAUGGUUAUAGAACCCUCCAUUACAGAAAACUGGAAAAGUUCUCAGUUACACACAGUUAAUGUUCAGGUAUGUGUUGCCUCCCCCAGCCCUAUAUCAUUUUAUAGCUUCAGUUCUUUAAAGACAUAGAAAAUCUUAAAGUAGUAUGUGGUAGCUAAAAUUUGGUAAAUUCUGGAAAGAGUUAAGAAAGAACCAAUUUAUGUUGAGGGAAAGUUAAAGGUAUUUGCCAUGCCCUUUCAAGGAAAUCUUUCUUAUACACACAAACGAUCAAUAAGCUCACAUUCUUUGCCUAUAGGCAACAAUUCCUUGCUAUUCAUCUUCUCAUUAGCUGAUAUUAGGAUAUCCUCUCUCUAUAUAUAUAUCCUCUAUAUAUCCUCUAUUCAUCUAAAUGCAAUUUUUAAAGAAAUUGUGAAAGUUUUUAGUUAUAGAGCUUAUACAUUUAAGCUUUUCUGAUUUGUAAUCUUUAAUAAGCUGAUAUUUUAUAAUAUUUAGUUCUCUUUCUGCAUCAUUGAUAAGUUUUAGUAUAUGGAUUAAGAAAUGUUUUAUCUUACAGAUAAAAUAUACAAAUUAGUAAGGAUUGCAGAAGCUUUUUAAAAAGUUGGGUUAACUAUAGAUUUAUAGAAAAGCUUCAAAGUUAGUACAGAGUUACUAUGCCCUGCUUUCAGCUUCCACUAAUGCUAACACCUUCUAUAAACAUUACAGGUUCGUCAAAACUAACUUGUUUGCAUCAGGAUGACACUAACUAGGAUUUUUUUUUUAGAUUUUGCCAGUUUUCCCACAAACAUCUUGUUUCUGUUCCUAGACCCACUGUAACACACUGCACUUCAUUUAGUCAUCAUGUCUUCUUAAUCUAACAGUUUCUCAUUCUUUCCUUGUUUUUCUAGAUCUUGACAUUUUAAAUUAUAACCUAUAAAUAUUUUGUAGAACAUCUCUCAAUUCAGAUUAAUGGAUAUUUUUCCUGUGAUUAUACUGGGGAAGAAUGUCACAGAGGUGUGGUGCCCUUCUGAAUAUAUCAGUGUGUACAUAAGACCAAUGUGACUUAUGAUUGGUGAUGUUAACCUCUAACACUUGGUUAAAAUGGUAUCUGCCAGAUUUUUCUAUUGUAAAACUAUUUUCCCUUUCCAUAUUUUGUUCUUUGGAAACAAGUCCAAACAUACAUGACGAGAAGACUUAAGCUCCACUGGAGAGGGGGCUAUCUACACAUAUUUGAAAUUCUAAUGUAAAGGAGGGUUGUCCCUUCUCCCUUAUUUACUCAAUCACUUUUUAAAUAUAAACCCAUGGAGUUUUAUUUUAUUUUAAAACCCAAUACUAUAAUUAUUUGUUUUGUUGCUCAAAUUGUUCCAGGCUUAACCAUCAGGGUUGCCCCCAGGCUCUUUUUUUUCCUCCUCCUUAUCCUUGCUUACUUGCUGGAACCAUAAGAUGCUCCAAGAUGGGAGCUCAGUGGCAGAUUGCAUGAGUGAGGCCUUGGUUUCAAAUCCAGCACCACUCCUCCACCGCCCACAUAAAAAAGUUCUCCAGAUUUAUCUUGUAUUUUCUCCUUCCCAACUCCAGAAACAGUAAUUUCUCCAAAGAUCCCUGUUUCUUUCUUUGGAGAACAGUAUUCAGAACUUAAGAUUUGGGCAUUAGAUGUACUUGUGCUAUUAGGUUGCUUCUAGAUCUCAAUGAACAGAGCUGGGAAAUAUAUUAAUGUGUAUUAACAUGUAUAUACAUAUCUAUAAUGACUUUGGUAUAUUCUAUAUGUAUUUGAAAUGUGAGCUCAUACUGAUAUCUCCAACUCCUAAUCCAGUACCAUAGGAUUCAUUCUAGCUUUUCCCUUUCUUUGUAACUUAUUUUUCUUCCUAUUAUCUAUAAUUUGCUUACUUAUUUUUUUUCUAGCCCUGGUACAAAUAUAAAGUAACUUGAAAAUUGCUAACCUACCAUACCUGUAUCAGAUGUACUUAUUAAAGUACAGUGUAUAUUGUUUAUGUCUCCAAUCUUACAUUACCCAGUCAAAACACAUUACAAAGUUAAAGCAGCAUCAAUAAAAACUUCCCCCAACAAAUCUUUUUUUUUAAGAGAGAGAGAGAGAGAGAGAGAGAGAGAAUUUUAAUAUAUAUAUGUUUUUUUUUUAGUUUUCGGUGGACAACAUUUUUGUAUGUGGUGCUGAGGAUCGAACCCGG